rnacentral:rRNA from 1 species
UACGGGGGGAGCAAGCGUUGUUCGGAUUUACUGGGCGUAAAGGGCGCGUAGGCGGCGCAACAAGUCACUUGUGAAAUCUCCGGGCUUAACCCGGAGCGGUCAAGUGAUACUGUCGUGCUAGAGUGCAGAAGGGGCAACUGGAAUUCUUGGUGUAGCGGUGAAAUGCGCAGAUAUCAGGAGGAACACCGAUUGCGAAGGCAGCUCGCUGGGACGUUUACUGACGCUGGAGACGCGAAAAGCGUGGGGGAGCAAACAGG